rnacentral:rRNA from 1 species
CCUACGGGAGGCAGCAGUGGGGAAUAUUGCACAAUGGGGGAAACCCUGAUGCAGCAACGCCGCGUGAGUGAGGAAGUAUUUCGGUAUGUAAAGCUCUAUCAGCAGGAACGAGACAAGACGGUACCUGACUAAGAAGCCCCGGCUAACUACGUGCCAGCAGCCGCGGGAAUACGUAGGGGGCAAGCGUUAUCCGGAAUCACUGGGUGGAAAGGGAGCGUAGACGGCUGAGCAAGCCUGAAGUGAAAGGCGGGGGCCCAACCCCCGGACUGCUUUUGAAACUGUACGGCUGGAGUGCAGGAGAGGUACGUGGAAUGCGUAGUGUAGCGGUGAAAUGCGUAGAUAUUAGGAGGAACACCAGUGGCGAAGGCGGCUUACUGGACUGUAACUGACGUUGAGGCUCGAAAGCGUGGGGAGCAAACAGGAUUAGAUACCCCUGUAGUC